GCCUGGAUAGCUCAGUCGUAGAGCAUCAGAAUUUUAAUUUGAGGGUCCAGGGUUCAAGUCCCUGUUCAGACA
rnacentral:tRNA from 1 species